AGUGAACGCUGGCGGUAGGCCUAACACAUGCAAGUCGAACGGCGGCACAGUAAGAGCUUGCUCUUACGGGUGGCGAGUGGCGGACGGGUGAGGAAUACAUCGGAAUCUACUUUUUCGUGGGGGAUAACGUAGGGAAACUUACGCUAAUACCGCAUACGACCUACGGGUGAAAGCAGGGGAUCUUCGGACCUUGCGCGAUUGAAUGAGCCGAUGUCGGAUUAGCUAGUUGGCGGGGUAAAGGCCCACCAAGGCGACGAUCCGUAGCUGGUCUGAGAGGAUGAUCAGCCACACUGGAACUGAGACACGGUCCAGACUCCUACGAGAGGCAGCAGUGGGGAAUAUUGGACAAUGGGCGCAAGCCUGAUCCAGCCAUACCGCGUGGGUGAAGAAGGCCUUCGGGUUGUAAAGCCCUUUUGUUGGGAAAGAAAAGCAGCAGGUUAAUACCCCGCUGUUCUGACGGUACCCAAAGAAUAAGCACCGGCUAACUUCGUG
rnacentral:rRNA from 1 species